ACGACAGCUGCCGAAAGGUGGCCUUCUUCGGACGUUCUUCAAGGUGCUGCAUGGUUGUCGUCAGCUCGUGCCGUGAGGUGUCGGGUUAAGUCCCAUAACGAGCGCAACCCUUAUCGUUAGUUGCCAGCGGGUCAAGCCGGGGACUCUAGCGAGACUGCCACCGUAAGGUGUGAGGAAGGUGGGGAUGACGUCAAAUCAGCACGGCCCUUAUGUCCAGGGCUACACACGUGUUACAAUGGCCGGUACAAAGGGCAGCUACCCCGUGAGGGGAUGCUAAUCUCUAAAGCCGGUCUCAGUUCGGAUCGAAGUCUGCAACCCGACUUCGUGAAGCUGGAUUCGCUAGUAAUCGCGCAUCAGCCAUGGCGCGGUGAAUACGUUCCCGGGCCUUGUACACACCGCCCGUCAAACAAUGGAAGCUGGGGGUACCUGAAGUCUGUAACCGCAAGGAGCGGCCUAGGGUAAAACUAGUAACUGGUGUU
rnacentral:rRNA from 1 species